rnacentral:rRNA from 2 species
GGGGACGGGCGGGUGCCUAAUACAUGCAAGUCGAGCGAACUGAUUAGGAAGCUUUGCUCUCUAUGACCUUAGCGCGCGGAGGGGUGAAUAACACGUGUGCAACCUGCGUGUAAGAGUGGGAUAACUUCGGGAAACCGGAUCUAAUACCGGAUAGGAUCUUCUCCUUCGUGGGAAAUGAUUGAAAGAUGGUUUCGGCUAUCACUUACAGAUGGGCCCGCGGUGCAUUAGCUAGUUGGUGAGGUAACGGCUCACCAGGGCAACGAUGCAUACCCGACCUGAGAGGGUGAUCGGCCACACUGGGACUGAGACACGGCCCAGACUCCUACGGGAGGCAGCAGUAGGGAAUCUUCCGCAAUGGACGAAAGUCUGACGGAGCAACGCCGCGUGAGUGAUGAAGGCUUUCGGGUCGUAAAACUCUGUUGUUAGGGAAGAACAAGUACGAGAGUAACUGCUCGUACCUUGACGGUACCUAACCAAAAAGCCACGGCUAACUACGUGCCAGCAGCCGCGGUAAUACGUAGGUGGCAAGCGUUAUCCGGAAUUAUUGGGCGUAAAGCGCGCGCAGGCGGUUUCUUAAGUCUGAUGUGAAAGCCCACGGCUCAACCGUGGAGGGUCAUUGGAAACUGGGGAACUUGAGUGCAAAAAAAAAAAGCGGAAUUCCACGUGUAGCGGUGAAAUGCGUAAAAAUGUGGAGGAACACCAGUGGCGAAGGCGGCUUUUUGGUCUGUAACUGACGCUGAGGCGCAAAAGCGGGGGGAGCAAACGGGAUUAAAUACCCGGGGGAUCCCAAAA